rnacentral:rRNA from 1 species
GAUGAACGCUAGCGAUAGGCUUAACACAUGCAAGUCGAGGGGCAGCACAAGGUAGCUUGCUAUCUGGGUGGCGACCGGCGCACGGGUGCGUAACGCGUAUGCAACUUGCCCUAUACAGGAGGAUAACCCGUCGAAAGACGGACUAAUACUGCGUAUGCUCACAACUUGGCAUCAAGUGGUGAGGAAAGAAAUUCGGUAUAGGAUAGGCAUGCGUCCCAUUAGCUUGUUGGUGAGGUAACGGCUCACCAAGGCAACGAUGGGUAGGGGAACUGAGAGGUUUAUCCCCCACACUGGUACUGAGACACGGACCAGACUCCUACGGGAGGCAGCAGUGAGGAAUAUUGGUCAAUGGGCGCGAGCCUGAACCAGCCAAGUCGCGUGAAGGAUGACUGUCUUAUGGAUUGUAAACUUCUUUUAUACGGGAAUAACAAGAGUCACGUGUGACUCCCUGCAUGCACCGUAUGAAUAAGCAUCGGCUAACUCCGUG